UUGCUGUUUACUUCACAGCCUGUUACUGGAGGAACAAGCUAGUGGGAAGGCAAUGGCUUUCGGAAAACAAGAAACUUCUUAGCAUGCUGAAGGAAAAUUACCAGGAAAUUGCGACCUCCACCCCAACCUUCAGCACACACCACCCUGACUGUUUUCAUUCUUUAACUAUAAGAAGUUGUGCUGCAAGUAACACAAGAAGGUGAUUUUCA